ACAGCAGACGGCCUUCAGCAGCUUACAUACCAACUGUGUCACGUGUACGCACGGUGCACACGUAGUGUUUCCAUGCCAGCCCCUGCCUAUUAUGCCCACUUGGUGGCUUUCAGAGCCAGACACCACGUGACUGGAAAUGGAAGUCUGGACCUGAAGGAGUCAGCAAAAGCCAUCGAGGUCAAUGCUAAGAUGAAAGGAGCCAUGUACUUUACUUAGAGAAGCACCAAGCAAUUUUCAUGUAUUGGAACAGUGUAACUGAUCUUCCAUUUUCAGAAUGAUGCCAGAGGGGGAAAAACUCUUGUUUUGCGAUAACUUUCGUCGAACAACUUUAAAGACAAACAACGGAAAUUAUCUUUGUGGUAAUACUUGUUAACUGGAAUCAAUUGUAUAGAUAUUAUCGACAUUGUUUAUUGUACUUGACGAAAAUAAUAGAAGAAUGUAAUAUUUUUUAGGUAAAUAGAUUUCAAAUUCUAAAUAUGCGUUGGGUAGAGAAAUUGAGUGCUCAAGUUAAUGAUGCAUGAAUCACGAGUGAAUUAAAGACAGUCAAUUUGCCAUGAAUUUUGUAAGAUUAUAUCAUGAUUUGCGAUGUUUUAGUUGUCUGAAGGAAGUCGAUCGUGAAACUUAAUUUUGGAAUUGGAACCAAGAGAAAUAAUCUUUAUAGAGGAAUCUUCUUCACAAAAAGUGGUUUUCGAAAAGGACUCGAAGGUAAAGACUAAAAUAUAUACUUAAAAUUAAAAGGAAAAAAAUUAUUUAAAGGAGUUACAAACAUGUCACUUGAAUGCAUUAAUACCAGCAGAUCCUCUUAUUACCUGGCUGAGUGAAUUAACGUCAUUUACAACGUGAUAUGCAGCUCUUUGUUUCCCCAGUUCCUCUUGACGCUGGGGAGUCUAAGAUUGGCUUUUUUUCUUGUGUUGUAAUUAUGUUGCUGUUGCUGUGUCAUUAAAAUCAAUUCAUGGUUUUUAA